rnacentral:rRNA from 1 species
AGGACGACGCUGGCGGCGCGCCUAACACAUGCAAGUCGAACGAGCGAGAGAGAGCUUGCUUUCUCGAGCGAGUGGCGAACGGGUGAGUAACGCGCGAGGAACCUGCCUCAAAGAGGGGGACAACAGUUGGAAACGACUGCUAAUACCGCAUAAGCCCACGACCCGGCAUCGGGUAGAGGGAAAAGGAGCAAUCCGCUUUGAGAUGGCCUCGCGUCCGAUUAGCUAGUUGGUGAGGUAACGGCCCACCAAGGCAACGAUCGGUAGCCGGACUGAGAGGUUGAACGGCCACAUUGGGACUGAGACACGGCCCAGACUCCUACGGGAGGCAGCAGUGGGGAAUAUUGCACAAUGGGGGGAACCCUGAUGCAGCGACGCCGCGUGGAGGAAGAAGGUCUUCGGAUUGUAAACUCCUGUUGUUGAGGAAGAUAAUGACGGUACUCAACAAGGAAGUGACGGCUAACUACGUG